rnacentral:rRNA from 1 species
AGAGUUUGAUCCUGGCUCAGGAUGAACGCUGGCGACGUGCUUAACACAUGCAAGUCGAACGAUGAUCCCAGCUUGCUGGGGGAUUAGUGGCGAACGGGUGAGUAACACGUGAGUAACCUGCCCUUAACUCUGGGAUAAGCCUGGGAAACUGGGUCUAAUACCGGAUAUGACUCCUCAUCGCAUGGUGGGGGGUGGAAAGCUUUAUUGUGGUUUUGGAUGGACUCGCGGCCUAUCAGCUUGUUGGUGAGGUAAUGGCUCACCAAGGCGACGACGGGUAGCCGGCCUGAGAGGGUGACCGGCCACACUGGGACUGAGACACGGCCCAGACUCCUACGGGAGGCAGCAGUGGGGAAUAUUGCACAAUGGGCGAAAGCCUGAUGCAGCGACGCCGCGUGAGGGAUGACGGCCUUCGGGUUGUAAACCUCUUUCAGUAGGGAAGAAGCGAAAGUGACGGUACCUGCAGAAGAAGCGCCGGCUAACUACGUGCCAGCAGCCGCGGUAAUACGUAGGGCGCAAGCGUUAUCCGGAAUUAUUGGGCGUAAAGAGCUCGUAGGCGGUUUGUCGCGUCUGCCGUGAAAGUCCGGGGCUCAACUCCGGAUCUGCGGUGGGUACGGGCAGACUAGAGUGAUGUAGGGGAGACUGGAAUUCCUGGUGUAGCGGUGAAAUGCGCAGAUAUCAGGAGGAACACCGAUGGCGAAGGCAGGUCUCUGGGCAUUAACUGACGCUGAGGAGCGAAAGCAUGGGGAGCGAACAGGAUUAGAUACCCUGGUAGUCCAUGCCGUAAACGUUGGGCACUAGGU